CGGGUGGUGGCGCAGCCCGGUAGCGCACUUGUAUGGGGUGCAAGGGGUCGCUGGUUCGAAUCCAGUCCACCCGA
rfam:Niastella koreensis GR20-10, complete genome.